rnacentral:rRNA from 1 species
UACAGAGGGGGCAAGCGUUGUUCGGAAUUACUGGGCGUAAAGGGCGCGUAGGCGGCCUGCUAAGUCGAACGUGAAAUCCCCGGGCUCAACCCGGGAACUGCGUCCGAUACUGGCAGGCUUGAAUCCGGGAGAGGGAUGUGGAAUUCCAGGUGUAGCGGUGAAAUGCGUAGAUAUCUGGAGGAACACCGGUGGCGAAGGCGGCAUCCUGGACCGGUAUUGACGCUGAUGCGCGAAAAGCCAGGGGAGCAAA